GAUGAACGCUGGCGGCGUGCCUAAUACAUGCAAGUCGAGCGAACAGACGAGGAGCUUGCUCCUCUGACGUUAGCGGCGGACGGGUGAGUAACACGUGGAUAACCUACCUAUAAGACUGGGAUAACUUCGGGAAACCGGAGCUAAUACCGGAUAAUAUAUUGAACCGCAUGGUUCAAUAGUGAAAGACGGUUUUGCUGUGACUUAUAGAUGGAUCCGCGCCGCAUUAGCUAGUUGGUAAGGUAACGGCUUACCAAGGCAACGAUGCGUAGCCGACCUGAGAGGGUGAACGGCCACACUGGAACUGAGACACGGUACAGACUCCUACGGGAGGCAGCAGUAGGGAAUCUACCGCAAUGGGCGAAAGCCUGACGGAGCAACGCCACGUGAGUGAUGAAGGUCUUCGGAUCGUAAAACUCUGUUAUGAGGGAAGAACAAAUGUGUAAGUAACUAUGCACGUCUUGACGGUACCUAAUCAGAAAGCCACGGCUAACUACGUG
rnacentral:rRNA from 1 species